rnacentral:rRNA from 1 species
UGAGGAAUAUUGGUCAAUGGGCGAGAGCCUGAACCAGCCAAGUCGCGUGAAGGAAGACAGUCCUAAGGAUUGUAAACUUCUUUUAUACGGGAAUAACGGGCGAUACGAGUAUUGCAUUGAAUGUACCGUAAGAAUAAGCAUCGGCUAACUCCGUGCCAGCAGCCGCGGUAAUACGGAGGAUGCGAGCGUUAUCCGGUUUUAUUGGGUUUAAAGGGUGCGUAGGUUGUUCGGUAAGUCAGCGGUGAAACCUGAGCGCUCAACGUUCAGCCUGCCGUUGAAACUGCCGGGCUUGAGUUCAGUGGCGGCAGGCGGAAUUCGUGGUGUAGCGGUGAAAUGCAUAGAUAUCACGAGGAACUCCGAUUGCGAAGGCAGCUUGCCAUACUGCGACUGACACUGAAGCACGAAGGCGUGGGUAUCAAACAGG